GGCACUUGCGAUGGGCGCAGCCUGAGCAGCAAUGCCGCGUGAAUGAUGAAGGUCUUCGGGUCGUAAAAUUCUGUUAUUAGGGAAGAACGUAUGUGUAAGUAACUCUGCACGUCUUGACGGUACCUAAUCAAAAAGCAACGGCUAACUCCGUGCCAGCAGCCGCGGUAAUACA
rnacentral:rRNA from 1 species